rnacentral:rRNA from 1 species
GAUGAACGCUGGCGGCGUGCUUAACACACGCAAGUUGAACGUGAGAGGUAGCAAUAUCUUGAAAGUGGCGCACGGGUGAGUAACACGUAGGUAACCUGCCUCGGAGUGGGGGAUAACAGUUAGAAAUGACUGCUAAUACCGCAUGAAUCCAUUAAGAUGGGAAUGUUGAUGGAGAAAAACUCUGGUGCUUCGAGAGGGGCCUGCGGUCGAUUAGCUAGUUGGUGGGGUAACGCCCACCAAGGCGACGAUCGAUAGCUGGUCUGAGAGGACGAUCAGCCACACGGGAACUGAGACACGGUCCCGAUCCUACGGGGGCAGCAGUGAGGAAUAUUGGGCAAUGGGCGGAAGCCUGACCCAGCAACGCCGCGUGGAGG